GCCUCAGUAGCUCAGUUGGUAGAGCGUUACCUUGGUAAGGUAAAGGUCGCGAGUUCAAUCCUCGUCUGAGGCU
rnacentral:tRNA from 1 species